rnacentral:rRNA from 1 species
UACGGAGGGUGCAAGCGUUAUCCGGAUUCACUGGGUUUAAAAGGGUGCGUAGGUGGGCAGGUAAGUCAGUGGUGAAAUCCUGUAGCUUAACUACAGAACUGCCAUUGAUACUAUUUGUCUUGAAUACCCUGGAGGUGAGCGGAAUAUGUCAUGUAGCGGUGAAAUGACUUAGAUAUGACAUAGAACAUCUAUUGCGAAGGCAGCUCACUACGGGAAUAUUGACGCUGAGGCACGAAAGCGUGGGGAUCAAACAGG